UAAGGCCCAAGCUGCCAUCCUGUCUCUGAACCUUACGACCGAAAGUGCGGACCUGCUCUAAUGGUAGCAGCAUCCUCAGCCGCUGUAUCCUAGAUUCGCCACUGCCCCCGCCCCUCCCCUCCCAUCCGCCACCAGUUUCCUACUCACUCUCCACUCCGCAUCAGAUCGACCGAUCCCCUUGGGCUGCCGCUGCUCCCCGGCUUACUCGGCCGCUGAUGUAUGACGGCCGGGAGGCCGUGGAUGUGCAGGGUUCGAUGGUCGGGUGGGGCGCGGCCGCAUCGUGGACGAGGUUGAGCCGGUCGCCUGCAAGGGCCACCAUAGAUUGCUGCCCGAUGAUAUGCUGUUUGGUUUUGCUUUGUUCCGUCAGUUUUAGGUGUAUCCAUUCCAACUCUAUUUACUGAAAUUCCUAAGCACCUGAUCAGUACAAGCAAACUAGGAAUAACCUUGAGAUCAUCAAGGUUACAUCCUUGUAAAAUCAUCUCCUUCACUGAAAUUCCUAGCAUCUUGUCCAUGUUUUUUAUAAUUUGUCUUUUAUAUCUUCAGUAGUAGUAAUCAGAAGCUCCACUUUCAGAGGCCGUAUCCCAAGAGGUUUUACCGGCUUCAAUGGUUCGUUGCCAUGGUAUAGUACCACCUUAUGUUUAUGUGUAGCAAUGCAAGAAAGGAUAACCUUUGGAAUAUGUUAAUGUGAACCAGAGAUGUUUGAUAAUCGAAUCCCACCUUGGUGAAAAAUAUAAAAUCAUGAGAAACCAAUGAAUUGCAUCUUGCAAAAGUCCCUUGCGCCAUUCCUCAUCUACUUUUUAGUCAUAUGCACGGAUGAUGAUUUAAUUCCGUGUACAAAAAAUAUAUAACUCAGCUAAUGAUUGGAGUCUGGCCCCCGCUACUCACUGGCCUCAUCCGCGGCUGAUGUUCGAUGGUCGUUGUCUUGACAGUGGCACAUGACUACAUGCAGGCCAUGUACACGUAAGGUUUGAUGGUCGUGGACGUCGUGCUGGAGGUCGAGCUGUUUGCCUGCAAGGGCGACCACAAUGACCUUGACGCUACUGUUCAGGAGCUCGUCGGCAAUAGCAUCAAAAGAAGGAGAACAUGAUUCUAGCACUAGCUGGUGUUGUUCUUUAUUGUAACACGAAACUCACUUCGAAACCAAUAGUUGUGACAAGCGAGUGAAUGAAUCAACCAAUAUGAGUUCUUCAAGUGUGCCGAUCUGCAAAGAUCCAUGCUUACAUGAUUGACCAUCUGAAAAAGUAGAUGCCAUGCAAUGAUGCGGAAAACCAAGGCUCAACAGUGCCUCAUCGACAACAUAUAAGAUGAAUUUGCAAAGGGGAUAGAUGUUCCAAAUUAAAGAAUAUGUGCUUACUUUGUGUGUCUCUUUGGAGUAUUUUGUUGAGGUCAAUGAGUUGGUCAAGCGUGCUAGAGGUGCAAAGGUCCAUGCUUUUACAUAAUUGGCCAUCUGAAAAACAAGAUUCCUGCAAUGAUGGUGGAAGCCAAGGCUCAAAUAAGUAUUAAAAGUCUGCCUUUUGGUCAUGUUGAGGCUUCUAUCUGAUGUAUUGGUGAAUUUCUUAUAUUCCUUUGGUGCGAAUGAUGACUCCGUCUAGAGGAAUCUUUGAUGCUUGUUUCAUUUUUUAACAUUCUUGCAUUUCAUUGUAUCUGCUCUUGCGCUAGUAUUUUGGUUUAGGUGCUCUAUGGCUGUGUUCAAUACAGUUUGAGAUUUUUUUCUAGUCUGGGGCACAUUACGGUUGAGUGAGGGGGAUGCACUGAACUGCCAGCCUGAUGAUUAGCAUGAAGAACGAGAUAUGAGCCCACUUCCCCGUUGAAGCCUGCUUUGGCUGCUGGAUAUGUUUCGUUCUUUCUUGGUUCUGUUUCUCUUAGUAGUAAAUCCCAAACUGGCAUACACACACACAUUUACGCAUGCUUGCAGACGGGUUUUGCACAAAGCUGGCUAAAUGGGCUCCUGGAAUGGAUGUGUAGAAGCGAAAGUUAUAAAGGCUUUGGCAAGACCCACUUUGUUUAAUGUGUAUUCCAUAUUACUCCACCUUGAGUCUGCUUACAUUCCAUGGUUUACUACCAGGUUUUUGCUGCAGAUAUCACCAUAGUUAGUUCUGUCGGGAUCUCAAUUCUAGAACAAUUCUAGAACUUCCACUAUUUUGAAAUGACCUGUAAAAUGAUACAUGUCACCACCAUUGUUGCUACCUUUUCUUAGCCUGUUAGUUUAUAACAAAAGACUUCGCCAAUGAGAAUCUAUAUGUGAUCAAAUUUCAUAUGGAUUCAUUGAUAUGCAUGGUUUAGUGGACCGAAUUUGUAAGUAUCUAUAGUUGUAGUCCCAAUAUGGAAUUCACUAAAUCUAGAAUUUUCAUCAUUCUCUUUAAGAAGGUUGACUGUAGUUAUUUUGAUGGCGUUUUUUCUAUGUUUUGUUCGUAGAGCACCCAUGUUUCACUCAGGAGCCUAAAUAUUUGCAGUCAGUUCCGCAGCGGUGGUGUGCUGCUCUUGUUGCUGGAGAGGACGCUGCUGUCCUGCACUUCCACGAGCACGAGGUGUCUAGGAUGGACACGCUCACUGACAUCGCCAACAAGUACUUUGUUGAGCCGCCUGCUCUGUUGUGGUGCUUACAAAUUUGCUACCAUUUGGUGUACUUGAAUUUCUUGUUAUCAUUUGUGCACUUGAAGUCUGUACUGUUUUUGCAAGGACCAACCAAACAUAGCAGGUGCGGCCAUCCCUGUGGAAGAGCUUUACCAAACAUUGAACUCUUGUUCUCAUUUUCUUUUUAUUUGCGUGCUCUGUUUUGAUCAGGUUCAUAUUUUCGUGGAUACAAAUAUUCGAGCGAUUGCAGGUUUACCAGAAUUACAGUUUGUAAACCAAGGUUGGUGGUAGGACAGCUCAAGGGCCUAGACAACCUGGAGGAUCUAUGUACAUGGAUUGAAAGCCCGCAACAUGAAGCACGCGUCGGUCCUCUUCAAGGAAACUACGGCUGGUUCAUCCAUUGUUGGGUGGCUGCCAUUCUCUCACAAUCUAAAGUGAUGAUCGUCACUGCUCCGUGAGGCAGUGUUGCCUACGUCACCAUGGCAGCUGUGAGGGGGAUAACCAGGCGCUAUGUGUCUGCCGCUGGCAGCAGCACUUGAAUUUGUGUGUGUCAAACUUACAGGCGACCAUAUGUUUUGUCCAGUCUGUAAAUAUUUUAGCCAAAUGCAAGUUGAGGUCCUCGAUCUACUGUGACCCAAGAAAAUUAUUUAGCUAUUGAGAAAAGCGAGUCUGUUGUUACAUUAUUGGCAACAUUGGUUGUUGUUACUCAUUUUACAGCAAUUUAAUAUGAUUUGGCUACCUGUUGAUCUA